rnacentral:rRNA from 1 species
ACAUGCAGGUGAUCGCCGUUGAAAGACGGUUUCCUCUUCGGAGGCACCUGCACAGGUGCUGCAUGGCUGUCGUCAGCUCGUGUCGUGAGAUGUUGGGUUAAGUCCCGCAACGAGCGCAACCCUUAUCCCCAGUUGCCAUCAGGUAAAGCUGGGAACUCUGGGGAGACUGCCGGUGAUAAACCGGAGGAAGGCGGGGAUGACGUCAAGUCCUCAUGGCCCUUACAUCCCGGGCUACACACGUGCUACAAUGGCAGGUACAGAGGGCUGCGAAGCCGCGAGGUGGAGCGAAUCCCAGAAAACCUGUCUCAGUCCGGAUUGAAGUCUGCAACUCGACUUCAUGAAGGCGGAAUCGCUAGUAACCGCGAAUCAGCAGGUCGCGGUGAAUACGUUCCCGGGCCUU